rnacentral:rRNA from 1 species
UACACUCCUACGGGAGGCAGCAGUGGGGAAUAUUGGACAAUGGGCGCAAGCCUGAUCCAGCCAUGCCGCGUGAGUGAUGAAGGCCCUAGGGUUGUAAAGCUCUUUCACCGGUGAAGAUAAUGACGGUAACCGGAGAAGAAGCCCCGGCUAACUUCGUGCCAGCAGCCGCGGUAAUACGAAGGGGGCUAGCGUUGUUCGGAUUUACUGGGCGUAAAGCGCACGUAGGCGGACUAUUAAGUCAGGGGUGAAAUCCCGGGGCUCAACCCCGGAACUGCCUUUGAUACUGGUAGUCUUGAGUUCGGGAGAGGUGAGUGGAAUUCCGAGUGUAGAGGUGAAAUUCGUAGAUAUUCGGAGGAACACCAGUGGCGAAGGCGGCUCACUGGCUCGAUACUGACGCUGAGGUGCGAAAGCGUGGGGAGCAAACAGGAUUAGAAACCCUUGUAGUCCC